rnacentral:misc_RNA from 1 species
GUAGGUGAACCUGCGGAGGGAUCAUUAACACGUUCCAAACCCUUUAUCAACCCAACCUGUGAAGUUUCGUAUCUGCCACAUGUCUGGCCGAGUGCUCCUUCGGGAGGUCCCACGGUGUAGGCUGAGAUCCAGGAUGAAGGUGGAGGGAUGCUCUGGUUCCCUCUCUGUCUCUCUCUCAAGAGAUGAUGGGGUGGGAGUCACCUCUCCACACGGGUCGAGUCUACGGUGGUCGUCCUCGAGCGAUCAGCCG